GACAGAGGGUGCAAACGUUGUUCGGAAUCACUGAGCGUAAAGCGCGUGUAGGCGGCUUGGCAAGUCGGAUGUGAAAUCCCACGGCUCAACCAUGGAAGUGCAUUGGAUACUGGAAGACUUGAGUACGGGAGAGGGUAGUGGAAUUCCUAGUGUAGGAGUGAAAUCCGUAGAUAUUAGGAGGAACACCGGUGGCGAAGGCGGCUGCCUGGACCGAUACUGACGCUGAGACGCGAAAGCGUGGGGAGCAAACAGGAUUAGAACCUACCGGUAGU
rnacentral:rRNA from 1 species